rnacentral:rRNA from 1 species
UACGUAGGGAGCAAGCGUUGUUCGGAUUUACUGGGCGUAAAGGGUGCGUAGGCGGCGCGGUAAGUCGGGUGUGAAAUCUCGGAGCUUAACUCCGAAACUGCAUUCGAUACUGCCGUGCUUGAGGACUGGAGAGGAGACUGGAAUUUACGGUGUAGCAGUGAAAUGCGUAGAUAUCAUAAGGAAGACCAGUGGCGAAGGCGGGUCUCUGGACAGUUCCUGACACUGAGACACGAAGGCCAGGGGAGCAAACGGG